UCGGCCCCGGUUCACGCCCCGCGCCGCGGAAGCGACCCGGUGCC
rfam:Streptomyces acidiscabies strain NCPPB 4445 genomic scaffold scf_64481_79.1, whole genome shotgun sequence.